AAAUCAUUUAAUUAUAUAUUGUAAGGACUCCUCUCAUGCUUUGAUGCUUGAAUUAAAUUUAUUGGAGAUGUGCCUGUUCUUCACAAAGCAUUUCUUCAUUUUUUGAUUAGUCAAUCAUGAAAACAAAAAAAAUGAAUGAAUGAGAUGCAAAGAAAUAUUCAAUUGUUAAUGAUUUCAAUCAGGUCAACGAAGAAGCACAUUAAUCAACAGACAAACACUAAUGUCAUCAAGUUAAAUGGAUAUUUUAAUAGAUGUUAGGAUAUUAUGCCCUCAGAAAAAAGCGGGUUUACAGCUUUACGGUUAAUGUAGAGUAUGGAGUUUGUGGAUUUGAAA